CACGUAGGGUGCGAGCGUUGUCCGGAAUUACUGGGCGUAAAGAGCUCGUAGGUGGUUUGUCGCGUUGUCCGUGAAAACUCACAACUCAAUUGUGGGCGUGCGGGCGAUACGGGCAGACUGGAGUACUGCAGGGGAGACUGGAAUUCCUGGUGUAGCGGUGGAAUGCGCAGAUAUCAGGAGGAACACCGGUGGCGAGGGCGGGUCUCUGGGCAGUAACUGACGCUGAGGAGCGAAAGCGUGGGGAGCGAACAGG
rnacentral:rRNA from 1 species